rnacentral:rRNA from 1 species
GACGAACGCUGGCGGCGUGCUUAACACAUGCAAGUCGAACGGUAAGGCCCUUCGGGGUACACGAGUGGCGAACGGGUGAGUAACACGUGGGUGAUCUGCCCUGCACUUCGGGAUAAGCCUGGGAAACUGGGUCUAAUACCGGAUAGGACCACUGCCUGCAUGGGUGGUGGUGGAAAGCUUUUGCGGUGUGGGAUGGGCCCGCGGCCUAUCAGGUUGUUGGUGGGGUGAUGGCCUACCAAGGCGACGACGGGUAGCCGGCCUGGGAGGGUGACCGGCCACACUGGGGCAGAGAUACGGCCCAGACUCCUACGGGAGGCAGCAGUGGGGAAUAUUGCGCAAUGGGCGCAAGCCUGAUGCAGCGACGCCGCGUGAGGGAUGACGGCCUUCGGGUUGUAAACCUCUUUCAGCACCGACGAAGCGCAAGUGACGGUAGGUGCAGAAGAAGGACCGGCCAACUACGUGCCAGCCGCCGCGGUAA